rnacentral:rRNA from 1 species
CGCCCUUAGAGUUUGAUCAUGGCUCAGGACGAACGCUGGCGGCGUGCCUAAUACAUGCAAGUCGAACGCAGCUUGCUUUGGUAAGAUGAGUGGCGAACGGGUGAGUAACACGUGGGUAACCUGCCUAUCAGAGGGGGAUAACACUUGGAAACAGGUGCUAAUACCGCAUAGAUUUCUUUCGCAUGAAAAGAGAGGAAAGACGUACGUGUCACUGAUAGAUGGACCCGCGGUGCAUUAGCUAGUUGGUGAGGUAACGGCUCACCAAGGCCAUGAUGCAUAGCCGACCUGAGAGGGUGAUCGGCCACACUGGGACUGAGACACGGCCCAGACUCCUACGGGAGGCAGCAGUAGGGAAUCUUCGGCAAUGGACGAAAGUCUGACCGAGCAACGCCGCGUGAGUGAAGAAGGUUUUCGGAUCGUAAAACUCUGUUGUUAGAGAAGAAUAGGUAGGAGUGACUUCCUGCCAUGACGGUAUCUAACCAGAAAGCCACGGCUAACUACGUGCCAGCAGCCACGGUAAUACGUACGUGGCAAGCGUUGUCCGGAUUUAUUGGGCGUAAAGCGAGCGCAGCGGUUUCUUAAGUCUGAUGUGAAAGCCCCCGGCUUAACCGGGGAGGGUCAUUGGAAACUGGGAGACUUGAGUGCAGAAGAGGAGAGUGGAAUUCCAUGUGUAGCGGUGAAAUGCGUA